GAUGAAGAACGCAGCGAAAUGCGAUAAGUAGUGUGAAUUGCAGAAUUCAGUGAAUCAUCGAAUCUUUGAACGCACAUUGCGCCCCUUGGUAUCCCGAGGGGCAUGCCUGUUCGAGCGUCAUUUCACCACUCAAGCCUGGCUUGGUGUUGGGCGACGUCCCCUUUAGGGACGCGCCUCGAAACGCUCGGCGGCGUGGCACCGGCUUUAAGCGUAGCAGAAUCUUUCGCUUUGGAAGUCGGGGCCCCGCCUGACGGAAUACCUACUCGGAAGGUUGACCUCGGAUCAGGCAGGGAUACCCGCUGAACUUAAGCAUAUCAAUAAGCGGAGGA
rnacentral:misc_RNA from 1 species